rnacentral:rRNA from 1 species
GUGAGGAAUAUUGCGCAAUGGAGGCAACUCUGACGCAGCCAUGCCGCGUGCAGGAAGAAGGCGCUACGCGUUGUAAACUGCUUUUAACCGGGAAGAAACCCCAGGACGUGUCCUGGGUUGACGGUACCGGAGGAAUAAGCACCGGCUAACUUCGUGCCAGCAGCCGCGGUAAUACGAAGGGUGCAAGCGUUAUCCGGAUUCAUUGGGUUUAAAGGGUGCGUAGGCGGAGCGUUAAGUCAGUGGUGAAAUCCUGCAGCUUAACUGUAGACUUGCCAUUGAUACUGGCGCUCUUGAGUGCGCUUGAAGUGGGCGGAAUGUGCCGUGUAGCGGUGAAAUGCUUAGAUAUGGCACAGAACACCAAUUGCGAAGGCAGCUCACUAAGGCGAUACUGACGCUGAGGUUCGAAAGCGUGGGUAGCAAACAGGAUUAGAUACCCUGGUUGUCC